AUUGAACGCUGGCGGCAUGCUUUACACAUGCAAGUCGAACGGUAACAGGUCUUCGGAUGCUGACGAGUGGCGAACGGGUGAGUAAUGUAUCGGAACGUGCCCAGUAGUGGGGGAUAACUACUCGAAAGAGUGGCUAAUACCGCAUGAGAACUGAGGUUGAAAGCGGGGGACCUUCGGGCCUCGCGCUACUGGAGCGGCCGAUAUCAGAUUAGGUAGCUGGGCGGGGUAACGGCCCACCAAGGCGACGAUGUCUAGCUGGUCUGAGAGGAUGAUCAGCCACACUGGGACUGAGACACGGCCCAGACUCCUACGGGAGGCAGCAGUAGGGAAUAUUGGACAAGUGGGGGGAACCCUGAUCCGAGCCAUGCCGCGUGAGGGAAGAAGGUCCUCUGGAUUAGUAAACCUCUUUUGGCAGGAAACAAACCUGCGCUAUACGCGCAGCUGAGGGUACCUGCAGAAUAAGCACCGG
rnacentral:rRNA from 1 species